UACGGAGGAUGCGAGCGUUAUCCGGAUUUACUGGGUGUAAAGGGAGCGUAGACGGUGAUGUAAGUCUGGAGUGAAAGGCGGGGGCCCAACCCCCGGACUGCUCUGGAAACUAUGUGACUGGAGUGCAGGAGAGGUGAGCGGAAUUCCUAGUGUAGCGGUGAAAUGCGUAGAUAUUAGGAAGAACACCAGUGGCGAAGGCGGCUUGCUGGACAGUAACUGACGUUGAGGCUCGAAAGCGUGGGGAGCAAACAGG
rnacentral:rRNA from 1 species